GUCAGGGCAGUGGCUGAGUCUGCUUGCCGGGGGUCAGGAAGGCUGUUCUUCCAGGAAGGGCUGCAGAGACCCUGGGAACAGGACUAGGCUGCUCACAAGUAUGAAGAGAAUGUCGGGAGAGGAAGUGGUGGCUGUGAGUCAGCAUGAGUCAUCUCGUUCCAAUGAGAAUGAAGACUGAGGUGUGCGCCUUUUUUUUCUCUCUCUCACUUUUUAAAUUUUUUUUAUUUUUUUGAGUCUCAAUCGUGUGGACAUCACUGGGAAUGGAGGGAAAUAACUGACUGAAUGGUCGUUGCUUUUAAGUUUCAAACCGACAUUCCAGGCGGGUUGUGUCUGAGCCAGCCUCGGGCUUUCAGACCUUCACAGCCUGGUCCUGAGAAGGUAGAGCUCUCAGCUUCUCCCUGGGCUCCCAUGGACCGGAAACAAAGCAGAAACGCGAAUCCCCGGCUCGGGCUUUUACUGGAAGGUAAGAGGGCCCAGAAGCGGGCAGUGAAUGCUGGUGCUGUACAGUUUUAAAGC
ensembl:lncRNA